rnacentral:tRNA from 1 species
GGCCUCGUAGCCAAGCCGGUACAGCGUUCGCUGUACAAAAGCGUAGACGGCGUCCAUGCGUGGGUUCGAAUCUCACCGAGGCUA